rnacentral:misc_RNA from 1 species
GAUGAAGAACGCAGCGAAAUGCGAUAAGUAAUGUGAAUUGCAGAAUUCAGUGAAUCAUCGAAUCUUUGAACGCACAUUGCGCCCGCUAGUAUUCUGGCGGGCAUGCCUGUCCGAGCGUCAUUUCAACCCUCAAGCCCCCGGGCUUGGUGUUGGGGAUCGGCGAGCCUCCGCGCCCGCCGUCCCCUAAAUCUAGGGGCGGUCUCGCUGUAGCUUCCUCUGCGUAGUAGCACACCUCGCACUGGGAAACAGCGCGGCCACGCCGUUAAACCCCCAACUUCUGAACGUUUGACCUCGGAUCAGGUAGGAAUACCCGCUGAACUUAAGCAUAUCAAUAAGCGGAGGA